CUCUGAUUUAAGAUUAAAGAAGUGAAAGCAUCAUCUCCAAGCACAGACAGCUGAGAACUGUUCCUCACAGGACACUUUGAGAAGUGCAUGGGUAGAAUGUGAUGAAGAUAAACUCUGCAUGGCUCAGAAAAAAGAGAUAAGUGUGAAGGCCAUCGUUGAACCAGAUGUACAAGGGAGGAACCGGAGACUGACACAAGGGCUCCAGAAGCCUGCAACACACUCCUAGUGAAAUGUCAGAGGAGGGCAGAUUGACGACUCUAAAGAUGAGACAGGCACCUAUCAGUGGGGACAAGACAGCUGUGACCAAAAACCAGCCUGGGAGAACUCCCUGAGGAACUUGAUGAAAGAACAAGAUAAAGGAUGAGAAGGACAAUUUAAGAAAAUAAGCACUCGUCAAACAACAAUUGAUUACAAUACGACGGUGCAAAACUCAUUGGUCUCAAUUAAGGAAAAUCAGUAUAUAAACAAGGUGCCUUGCCAUGAAACUCUGGGUUCGACCUGCCAAGACUUGCCCAAAGCAUCGUGUCAUGACUAGCAGAACCCGGCUCCUCCCUACCCGUGAUCAACCUUGCUGGCCGCUAGAUUGAUCCGGACUCUGGACUGGUAACUAUAACAUACACUGGCGGGACAGUAUGUUUGUGUGUGGUGUGACUAAAUGGAAAUACUAAUUGUUGUUUCUUCAAUAAAUGCAGCAUAUUGACUUUUCCCCUGAAAAAGAUCCCACGUGCUUCUUAUAAGCAUAACACUUUUGAUGGAAAAUUGCAAAAGGCUGAAGACAUGGACUGUGAUUGUUGAACAUACUGCUAAAUAUUGCUAAAAGGUGGUGAGAAUGGAGUAGUGGGCACUGCCGGGGGGCAGUGUCGUGAAGCAGGUGUCGCCGAGCAGGGAACAACACGGGUCCAAAAUCAGCAGAGCAGACAACGGGCAAGACACCACACACAGAGGGCACUUCAUGGCUGGCGAGAGCUAAUUCCCAGACUGACCAGCAGGAGGCAUCAUGGUGAUCGCUGUGUGUUUUAGAAGCAGGAGUGAAAAGUAAUCAAAACUCUGGAAGUUGAUUGUGUCCCUUUUAAGACAGAGUCUCUAAGCUGCUAAUGGCUUUAAAUCCAAAAGCAAGCCAAAAAGUGUCUGCGUUAAUGCAAAUUACCUAACUGGUAAAGGAAGAAAAGAACUGCCCAAAAAUUGUAGCACAAAGAAGUCAAACCAAAGGACAAGACGGGAGACAGGUAGAUCAGAGGAAGAUAAGGAUACUAGUAGAAAUGCCGGCCCCUACCGACGUCCACUCUUUAAGAAUACUGCUAGGAGGAGUCAAUUUUCUUAGACCUCAUCUAUAAAUAUGCUAAAAUAAUUCACCCACUGUGGAAACUAAUUAAAAAAAAAGACAAAAUGGGAAUGUGGAAAAGAGCAGGACUCUGCUUUAACCCUGCUAAAAGCAAAGGCUCUCACAACCCCAGCCCUGCGUUUCCCUGAUGAAUCACAGCCUUUUGUUAAAAAACAAAUGAAUGUUUGGCAGCUAAUAACAUGGCCAUGGCUGCCACACUAUUACAGAAUAUUUAAAAAGGGAACCUUUAAAUGGAGGAAAGGUGUCACUCACUAGAAUCAAAAUGGACAGGCCCUUACUCCAUGGUGGAUCGCCUUAGCCCAUUGGUAUAACUGCAUUUAAAAAAUAAAAAUGGAAAUGGAUACGUGUUUCACAAAUUAAACUGUUUAUAUAAACAAUGUUUGAAUUCUUUGCAGAAAAGGACAUCCCAGAACCUGAGCACGAGUUGCUGCUUCACCACCACAAUUUUAAUCCUUCCAGUGUCACAGAGGCUGAAAUGACACUUUUUUUCCCCUGUCCUGCUCCUCUCCAUUUACAUAUAAUUUGAAAAGUUCCCAAUAUAACUGUUCUUCAGCACAACCC